rnacentral:tRNA from 1 species
UUCUAUCAGCCUUGAUAGUACUCAGAUUGCAAAUCUGAGGCAGCAGGUUAAACCCCUGCCAGGGCU